ensembl:lncRNA
UUUGGUUCAUGGUGAAAAGGUGGUACAUCUAGCAUGGGGUAGUUUGGUUCAUGGUGAAAAGGUGGUACAUCUAGCAUGGGGUAGUUUGGUUCAUGGUGAAAAGAUGGUACAUCUAGCAUGGGGUAGUUUGGUUCAUGGUGAAAAGGUGGUACAUCUAGCAUGGGGUAGUUUGGUUCAUGGUGAAAUAGGUGGUACAUCUAGCAUGGGGUAGUUUGGUUCAUGGUGAAAUAGGUGGUACAUCUAGCAUGGGGUAGUUUGGUUCAUGGUGAAUUCUCAUGUUUAUUGCAUGCAGUCUCUAAAUGUGUCUAUAACGUAUUACUAGGCUAAAGUGUAUGUUGUUAGCCAAGCCAGUCAUCUGUUGCAACAUCAAAGUGCAGUUCAUUGGUGGAAUAAGACCAUAUUGAGUUAUGAGUUUACUGGCAGAAAGUAUAGAAAACAGUCAGAGAACCUCCUUAAGAAAUGGUCCUAUUCAUCUGUUUUUAAUCUGUGUCAUUAGGUUGGCUGAGUUUGCUGUUUUUAAUCUGCAUUUACGGGAAGGGUUCUUGUCGGUGUCUGUUUCCUCUCUCUCUUCAGUGUAAACUUUCAGCUCUAACAGAUUACAUGUGAGGCAGAGAGAAAACACUUGAGAUGCAUAAUGAGUGUGUAUUUUAAUUAAGAUCAGGCCUUCUGUAGGCCUACAGUUUUUUGAACCUUUAUUUAACUAGGCAGGUCAGACAAUAACUCAUUCUUAUCUACAAUGACAGCCUCCCAGGGAACAGUGGGUUAACUGCCUUGUUCAGGGGCAGAACGACAGAUUUGGACCUUGUCAGCUCUUGGAUUCGAUCUUGCAACCUUUCGCUUACUAGUCCAACACUCUAACCACUAGGUUACCUGCCGUACCACAGUGAUCAGAUUAGUAACACAACAUAUUUCUAUUUGAUAAUUGCAAAGAUUAUUGUAUAACUGUAUGAGAUACAUAGACUGACAAAUGGAACUAUUUCUUAAUUUCCAUAUUUGACUAUUUGGUUUUACAUUUGAGCAAAAAAAAGAUGUUUAAAACGUAAUGUACAUGAAAAUCUGGACACCUAAUUCUAAAAGAGAAAGUGUGAGACGUGAAAACAAUCUCCCUCUCUGUUUUUCCUGUUGGAGUUGUGGGAAUGUUGGAGGCAUGUCCUCCCCUCGCCUCUCUGCGCCAACUUGGAUGAUUUAUAUAUUUCCUCCCUUUCUGCGUUCAGAAUAAUACUGUGUGUUCUCUGCUCUGAGAGACACUGUAACCAGACAGACUGACACAAUGGGCUGUGAGAGACGGCUGUUCCUGACUGCUGCUCUGCUGGCUG